GUACCAUACAUGAUUUUAGAUCAAAAUUUCAAAUUUAUAUGGGGGGCGAAUUUCCUAAGGGGGUAUUCCUAGGAUAUUCGCCCCCUUUUGAGAGGGGUGUGUGAAUUUCCUGGGGGGGGGGGCGAAACUCCUGUGACACCGGUCACCUUCAGAGACAUUGCCCAGAGCGAAAUGUUACGGUUUAAUUUGAACGUUAACGUGUGUCAUUGAAAAUUUGUAAUGUUAGGUUUUGACAAUAUAUAUUUGAUCAUUUGUCUGUGUAUUAAUUUUUACUUUCGUUAUGUUUUUUUUUUGUUGGUGAGCAUUGAUACCGUUGUUAUCUUUGAGAUUUCGCUCCACGCGUGUAUGAUUCGGUAAUGCAUGCGUGUGGAUUCGGGUUGAAACUGUCAACACUUUCAUGUAUAACGGUUUGGCUACAGUUUUGUUUGUUGUUUAUUCCCAUAUUCGUACAUUUUGCUUCUUUUCCAUUGUGCCGGCUCACAAUGCCUUGGGUCGGUUUUUCGUGUGUACCGUAGUCUUACUUUUCUUAAUGGUAUUCCCGCUCCGAAGCGCCAAAGAACUAGUGACAAACAGGCGUUUUCCAGUGGGCAUCACCCGAGGUCAAGUAUCCGAUGGUGUGAUUGGAAAGGCUCGCCCAUGUCUUUUGUCGGCCCUAGACCCUCUCCGCUGAUGGUGUCGCGUGGUCAGGUCUUUGCAAGCCAACGUACGUUUUCCGCGACCCUUCCUCAUUUGUCCCUGGGGAAUUGCACAAGCAUGACAACCAGUGGGAAAGGAUUGUCCCUGUGGGUGAGGCGGAAGAAGUCCUCUCUUUUGUUUUUUAUUUUCUUUUAUUUUUUUGUUAAUGUCUGGCCAUAUUUCCGGCCGUUUAAAGGGAAUUUUGCGCGCCAGCGUUAUGAAUCAGCCUAUCCACCCUCCCGAGAAUUCCCAAAUAGUCCGUCCUUUGACCGUUUCAAGGAUUUUGUUCAUGCAAAUAUCAUUAUUUAUUUAUUAUUAAACGGUUUACUAAAAUCAAGUCAUCUCGCAGCCCGGAGGCUGAAUUACAUGAUUUUAACAAUAAUUAUAUUAAAAAAUAUAUAACUUUACAAUUAGAUCUUACUGAGGAUAAAAAUACUGAGGUAAAAAUAUUAUAAAUGUGGAAUAAAAAAAAACCGAUAAUUGGACUAGUUCUAUAAGAGACUUGAUAUAAUGUAAGUGUUUUUAAAUCUAUUUGUAUUACACCUUGGAAUAUUAAAAAAGUUUGGAUUUCUUAAGUUGUAAGUAUUUGAAUGCUUUGUAGGUAAGAGAUGAUGAAUUUUAUGUUUGUCAUUCACUAUUGAUUUGAAGACUUUAGUACAUAAUCCUUUCCUUCUUGUCUUCAAAGUUUCCAUAUCUAAUUCUUCAAUGGCUUCUGAAUACGACAAGUCCGGGCAUAUGAUGCGCAAAGCUCUCUUCUGAAUCCGCUCUAUUUGGUCUGACAGAUAUUCCGGGAGACCGUAAUGAAACACUUGACACGCGUAUUCAAGGAUACCGGAUCUUAUAGAAGCAAUGUAGAAACAUUUUAAAUCAUUGUCACUAAGACCCGAUGUCUUUAGUUGUUUCAUCGCUUCGCUGCUUUAGUUGCUAUCUUAUCCACAUGGGCAUUCCACUUCAUGUCUUGAGUGAUCAAUAAACCGAGAAUCAUUGCUUUUUCAACACGCUCUACGUUAAUUCCGUUUAUCUUUAUCGGCGGGAAAACAGGUUCACUACAAUCUCAUUUUGUCGGGUUGAGUUCAAU